rnacentral:rRNA from 1 species
UAAUACAGAGGGUGCGAGCGUUAAUCGGAUUUACUGGGCGUAAAGGGCGCGUAGGCGGCGAGAUGAGUGUGAUGUGAAAGCCCCGGGCUUAACCUGGGAAGUGCAUCGCAAACGAUUUUGCUGGAGUAGAUGAGAGGGUGGCGGAAUUUCCGGUGUAGCGGUGAAAUGCGUAGAGAUCGGAAGGAACGUCGAUGGCGAAGGCAGCCACCUGGCAUCAUACUGACGCUGAGGCGCGAGAGCGUGGGGAGCGAACAGGAUUAGAUACCCUGGUAGUCCACGCUGUAAACGAUGAGAACUAGAUGUUGGUAGGGGAACCUAUCGGUAUCGAAGCUAACGCGAUAAGUUCUCCGCCUGGGAAGUACGGCCGCAAGGUUG